GACCCGUGUUCGACCCGCCAUAAACAGGUUUGGAUUUGGCCUAAACAGGUUCGGGUCGUAAACAGGUCGACCCGUUUAACCUGUUUAUUAAUUGGGUCGGCUACGGGUUUUAGAUGUCUGACCCAUUUAAAUCGUUUAACCCGUUUAACUGUUGGGCAGGUUAAACAGGUCUAAACAGGUUAAACGGGUUAAACAGGUUACACGGGUUAAACAGGUUAAACAGGUCUAAACAGGUUAAACGGGUCUAAACAGGUCUAAACAGGUCGGGUUGGGCAGGUUAAACAGGUUGGGUUGGACAGAUUAAACAGGUCUAAACAGGUUAAACGAGUCAGGUUGGGCAAACAUGUUAAACAGGUCG
rnacentral:lncRNA from 1 species